GAGACACCCCUCUGGGACAGGACUUGCUUCAGUGGGGCUUUGGUGCUCACUGAGUCUGCCCCUUGAGUGUGAUGCU
rnacentral:pre_miRNA from 1 species